AACGAACGCUGGCGGCGUGCUUAACACAUGCAAGUCGAACGCGAAAGGGACUUCGGUCCUGAGUAAAGUGGCGGCACGGGUGAGUAACGCGUAGAUAACCUGUCUUCAUGUCUGGAAUAAUACGCCGAAAGGGGUACUAAUACCGGAUAUUCUUUGCUUUUCAUAAGUUAUGCAAGCAAAGGUGGCCUCUGCAUAUGCUACUGCAUGAAGAGGGGUCUGCGUACCAUUAGCUAGUAGGUGGGGUAAUGGCCUACCUAGGCGACGAUGGUUAGCGGGUCUGAGAGGAUGAUCCGCCACACUGGCACUGGAACACGGGCCAGACUCCUACGGGAGGCAGCAGUGAGGAAUAUUGCGCAAUGGGGGAAACCCUGACGCAGCGACGCCGCGUGAGUGAGGAAAGGGCCUUCGGGUCGUAAAGCUCUGUCAAGAGGAAAGAAGUGUACAGCGGCUAAUACCUGUUGUAUUUGACGGUACCUCUAAAGGAAGCACCGGCUAACUCCGUGCCAGCAGCUGC
rnacentral:rRNA from 1 species